UGACAAAGAAGGGGAAUACGACGAACAUGCAUGCGCACCUCAAGCACAAUCAUCCCCUCCAUUUUUCCCAACUGAGCAAAAAAAGUACCGCCGGAGGUGCUGCAGAGCCAUCGUCCCGACAGGUACCGUUUACUGAAGCGUUUGGCAAGCAAAGCAAAUAUAAACAAAACAGUGCAAAAUGGUGCGCGCUGACAGACAGCGGAAAUUGAAGUUUAUCACUUUUGGCAUGGUGUACUCGCAUUAUUAUGCCAUAUAUUAUCAUUUUCUAUAAUUUAAAAAACGGUGUCAAUAAUAUCGUUUAUCGGCAAUAAUUUGUAGCACAAUUAUCGUCCAGCAAAAUUUGUUAUCGUGACAGGCCUAGGCUUUACGUAUCUGAGAGACACACUUGUUCCUCAGGUGGCUAAAAAGUUGCCAGUCUGAGCUUUUUUUGGAUAUUCUUGCAGUUGCCCUGGCAAGAUCUUGUUUAUGAAUUAGAUCAGACAGUUGCUCUGAAAACCAUGGAUUAUCACGACCUUUAAUCUUGUAUUUUCUGAGAGGAGCAUGUUUGUCUAUAAUGUCCAAAAAUAAGGAAUUAAAAUACUGUAAAGCUGUCUCAGCAUCUGGAAUCAAAUUUACCCUGGUCCAAUCACAUAGAUAUAUGUCAUUUAAAAAGGCUUGUUCGGAAAAUGACUUAAAAUUACGCCUAAUUAUGAUACACUUUGAUAACUUUGUGUCUCUCACACAAGCAAUAAUGCAGUGAUCACUAACAUCAUUUGCAAACACAGCGGUAGCCUGGUAUUUUUGGGGAAAAUUGGUUAAAAUCAAGUCAAGGAGUGUCGACUUCUCAGGGCGUUUAGGGUUUGGCCUAGUUGGUGAGUCAAUAAUUUAAGCCAAAAGGGCUGAGUCACAGAAACAUUUAAAAGAAUCAGAAGCAGGGGUUAACCAAUCCCAAUUUAAAUCCCCUAUUAAAAGCAGAUCAUUGUAGUUAAUAGUUGAUAAGCAGUCAGACAAUGAGAGUAGUGUAUCCUUUAAGGCAGAAGGUCUAUAACAUCCCCCUACUGUCAUAACACAGCUCUUCGUAAAUUCAACUUUCAAGACAAGCAAUUCAAAUUGUUUAGGCACAGACUUGGAUAAUUGUACUGUUGCCUGAAAUGUAUUUUUAACAUAAAUUGCUACGCCUCCACCUUUGGCACAGCGAUCAGCAUCCAAAUAAAUAUGACUAUCAGGCGUAGAUCUACUCAGCCAUGUCUCAGAUAAAACCAUAAUGUCAGCACUUGUUGAUUUGGCCCAAAUUCUAGCCAUAUAAAUUUUGGGCAAAAGACUUCUCACAUUCAUAUACAAAACCAAUACGAGACCUAUUCAAAAAUUCAGCAGGGGUUUGUAGUGAUAUCACAUCAGACACAGGGCCUGGGUUAGGCUGAACAUUCCUUGAUAUCAACAAGCAUGAUCAUACAUUUCAACAUACGUGUUUCAUGAAAAUGCUUCUUGAUUUUCUUACAGACAUCAUUCAUCGUAACAGGCUGAGAGUCAUUUGAUGGGAUAAAGCAGUCCUUUAGGAGAAGAAGGCUUAAAAGAUAAUUAAAGUUUAUAUGCUUUGAAACCUGGCUCAUUUCAAGCAUCGAGCACCCUUGAUUGAUAUCAAAGUCCUGCGCCCAGCUAGUAACCUUUGACCGUGAUGACAUACAAAGAAAGCACAGGCAGGAGGGCGAGAAUUAUACUCGCCAUGAUUCAGAUUCAGAUUCAGAUUCCUUUAUUAGCCAUUGUGUAAAACACAUAGGAAUUUGCUUUGGCAAUAGCAUGAGUGUGUUCGGAUGUUUUUUCACAGAUAACAUAAAACACAAACAACACGAAAAAUAGAUAAAUAUAAAGUGCAGUAGGAUCAAUAGUGCAGAUGUAGUUCAGUGUCAAAGUCCCUAGUGGGCGGGGUGAGGAGGGAAGCCAGACUCAUUGAGCAGCCUGGCAGCAGAGGGGAAAAAACUGAGUCUAUGGCGUGCUGUGGUGGCCUUCAGCAGCUGCAUCCUUCUCCCAGAGGGAAGCAGGGAGAGGAGACUGUGGCCAGGGUGGGAGGGGUUGGCCAUGAUUUUCUUGCCCUCCUCAGCGCCCUGGAGUUGUGCAGGGACUUGAGGGAGGGCAGCGGGCGGCCAAUCACCCUCUCCGCUGAACGAAUCACCCUCUGCAGCUUGAUAAGGUCUCUUGCAGCUGCAGCAGGGAACCAGGUGAUGAUGGAGUGGGUGAGGAUGGACUCAAUGAUGGCCGUGUAAAACUGAGUCAUCAUGGUCCUUGAUAGUCUGUACUUCCUCAGCUGCCUUAGGAAAAACAGUCUCUGCUGGGCCUUUUUCAAAAGGGACAUGAUGUUAAUUUCCCACUUCAGGUCCCGGGAGAUGGUGACGCCCAGGAGCUUAAAGGACUACACAGAGUUUACCAGGGUGCCUCCCAGCGUGAUGGGAGGGGGAGGGGCUGUGUUCUUGUGGAAAUUCACCACCAUCUCCACUGUCUUUUGGGGAUUAAGGUCCAGGUUGUUGCUACUGCACCAACUGCGCAGCCGCUCGAUCUCCCUCCUGUAGGCCGACUCGUCCCCCUUGGAGAUGAGGCCCACCAAGGUAGUGUCAUCGGCAAACUUGAGGAGCUUGACUGACGGGUGGAGAGAGACACAGGUGUUGGUGUACAGGGAGAACAGUAGCGGGGACAGGACACAGCCCUGCGGGGAACCGGUGCUGGUGGACCUGGAGUUGGAAAUGCUUUUCCCCAGCUUCACCCGCUGAGACCUGUUGGUCAGAAAGUCUGUAAUCCACUUGCAGGUGGAGGCAGGCACUUGCAGCAGGGACAGCUGGUGCUCCAGGAUGGAUGGUAGGAUGGUGUUGAAGGCUGAACUGAAGUCGGCGAACAGGAUCCUGGCAUAGUUGCCGGCAGUGUCCAGAUGGUUUAAGAUGAAGUGCAGAGCCAUGUUCACGGUGUCCUCUGUGGAUCUAUUGGCUCUGUACGCAAACUGCAACGGGUCCAGCACAGGAUCAGUGAUGCGCUUCAGGUGAGCCAGGACAAGGCGCUCCAUGACCUUCAUGACCACAGAGGUCAGGGCGACAGGUCUAUAGUCAUUGAGGCCUGUGACCUUGGCCUUCUUGGGGAUGGGGAUGAUAGUUGAGGCCUUAAAACAUGCUGGGACAUGACAAAGCUCCAGAGAGGUGUUGAAGAUGUUGGUGAACACCGGGGCGAGCUGGUCAGCACAGUGCUUCAGGACAGAGGGGGAGACAGAAUCCGGUCCGGGCGCCUUCCGGGGGUUCUGGCUCCUGAGCAAGGCAGGAUGGGUGAAAUAGGCCUCAGCUGCAGAGCUGGGUAGUAGGCCUCAGGCUGCAGGGAUGGGUGGAUGAGGUAGGCCUCAGGCUGCAGAGCAGGGUGGAUGAGGUAGGCCUCAGGCUGCAGAGCAGGGUGGAUGAGGUAGGCCUCAGGCUGCAGGGCUAGAUGGAUGAGGUUGGCCUAAGGCUGCAGAGCAGGGUGGAUGAGGUAGGCCUCAGGCUGCCGGGCAGGGUGGAUUAGGUAGGCUUCAGGCUGCAGGGCUGGAUGGAUGAGGUAGGCCUCAGGCUGCAGAGCUGGGUGGAUGAGGUAGGCCCCAGGCUGCAGGGCUAGAUGGAUGAGUUAGGCUUAAGGCUGCAGAGCAGGGUGGAUGAGGUUGGCCUCAGGCUGCCGGGCAGGGUGGAUGAGGUAGGCUUCAGGCUGCAGGGCUGGUUGGAUGAGGUCGGCCUCAGGCUGCAGAGCAGGGUGGAUGAGGUAGGCCUCAGGCUACUGAGCUUUUCUUGUUGUGGGUACUGCUGCAGAUCUUGUCUGCAAUCUAGCCACACUUUAGCAGCUCCCAUAGUCUUGAGUAGGUUUUAAAGGCUAACAGGUGGCCUAUGGAGUAGCCAAACAAAGUAGAGCAGAGUUGUUUCCCAAAGGAAAAUGCCAAAAUCCACAACCUUGAUGCAAUCUUUAAGUAAACUAGAACACUGAAUAGUCCACAAUGGAAAAAUACUAAGUAUUAUAAUCCAAAAGGAAACAUUAAAAACAGACAAACACUGAGCAGAGACUGAACAGAGACACCACACAUGCUGCCAUCUUGCGCAUGUGCAAAACAGACGUCACUUCCUCUGCUAGCCAUCUUUGCGACAGCUCAGCAAUUAUUUGCUCCUAGCAGUUUGCGACAGCUUUGACACUAUUUUGGCAGCAUCAGCGAGCCCGCUUCAGAAUGGAGGCGUCAAUUUAUCAACAGCUACAGGCCUUUCUCCUGAUUGGAGUGCUUCCCCCAACUGAAGCAGAAUGGCGCACAGUUUCUACAAAGUUUCCACCACUAACUUAAUUUUAAAAUUGUAACGUGAAAGGCUUGAAUGAAUGUUACUAUUUUUUUUGUUGCCCAGCAGUCUGUUGUUUAUUUCAGAGUCCAUUGUUUAUUUCUUUUUAUGUUUUGUAAAUAUUUUUUGCAAUCAAUCCUGUGUCAUGUCCUCAGCACAUUGCAAUUUUAAGCUGAUCAUAACACAUUACAGGUAUCGAUAGAUAGAUAGAAAGAUCACACUAAGGCUUCACGAUAUAACAGUAUGUUUCCUCUAAACGAUAGAAAAUUUCUAUCGGGAUACAUGAGCUCUAUCAUUUCUAUCGCAGUGUCGCAAAAACACGCUUUACGGCAGUGUUUUACGGCAGUGUUUUACGUUGUGACGCUCCAUAUAUGGCAUGCCCACACGCGCUACUGCCAAUGUGAAAAACACAAGCAUGGAGGGGCCGGGUGUUGUGGCGCAAGAGACGACAAUUCUCGUGCAUCUAAUGCAGACGAGCCAACGCAGAUGGAGGAGCUGCUGCCGAAACGGGGGCAACGUCGGUUGUGUGGUCUUGGUUUGGUUUUAAAAGAAGCGACACGGAGCAGACCGCUGUAGUUUUAUUCUGAGUCAGUACAUGUAGAUCUAUAUCGAUAUAUUAUGAUGUAUAUCUGAUCUGAUAAGCGUGUUUGGCACGGGUUUGGACACUCCACCUGACCGAAUUAACACAGCUGAAACCGCAUUAAAUUAAAUAUCCAAUAAACAGUCACACAUGAUGAAGUUAACAAGAUACUUAAUUCGUCUCCCCAAUUAUCCUCCUUCUUCCUUGCGCAGCUUGAUAGGUGUUAUGCCGUAGCAUGCACCCCUGAAUCCCAUCGACUCAUUAGCUUCUUAAAGUGGAAAAAAUUAUCUCAUAUUUAAAAAAAACACGAGUAUUGGAUCAUGACAACAUGUCAAAUGGAGCAGCAAACUUUCGUUCUGUUUGUAGGUAUUUAAAAAAAUGCACAUACAGAGGUGUACUUGGGUAUUUAAACUAUGCUGUGUAGGUAGAGAACAUAUUUGCGGGGCAGCAAAUAUUCCGAAUCAGAGGGCGAUUGUUUUUGGCAUAUCUGAAUAGCCAGAAUGAAAUCAUUAAAGGCACACACUCUAGAAUCAGUCCAAUGGUAAGAAAAACUUGGAUUAUUCCGCCUUGUUGUGUACUUUCAAUCGCGCUCCUGUCAGGGGGGGCUUUGACGGCAGGGUUGCAUUCUAUGGCACAACACCUGACAUGUCUUCGUGUCCUCUCUCCGUCCUGCUGCACCUGCUGCUGUUGCGGCGGCUGAACAGAUGAUUUGUUUCAGUGAUCAGAUGAGUUAUUUACUUUAAGCCUACAUACGAAUAUUAUAAUAUUCAGUUUUGUGGGCCAAAUUUAUUUUAUAUGCCAACAUCUGUGAAAGAAAGAGCCAGGCCACGGAGCACGAUGCGUCAUUACGCACAGAUGGUUCCGAUUUUAAUGCCAUUAUUGGUAUUUAUGUUGUGAUCUGUGUGCACAACCCACCUUUGUCACGUGAGGUUUGAAUAUGUGCAACUUUACAUGAGUUUCUUUAUUUGUGGAAAAGGGUGUUUGUCUUACCAGUGGGUACAACCUUACACACACCAUAUCCAUCUUAUUUGAGAGUGAGAAGGACGCCCUCUGCAGCGCUUACAGCGACCUUAAUUGAGGAGCUGCCUUCUCUAGCCAUCGAGUGGCAUUACUGUCUUCAGACAUCUCUUGAUCUCUUUGACUACUUCACGAACAUUGCAAUACGCCUCGAUGGUGGUGGAUGUAAAGGCGAGGAGAGGAGCUUAUGUUAUUGGUCAAUACAGGUCUCGGCUGUGUUAAACCCCUCCACGUGCUCUCUCCUCCCUCACUCAAAUAUUUAGUUACUCAAAAUCCGUUCUACAUUACAUGCUGAUGUCAUGUGAAUGAGCUAGCCUAUGUAAUGUAUGGAUGUUCGUUUCAUUAUUAAACCUUGUGUAACUAAUUGUUGUUUACACAAAUGUUGAAUUAUUGAAAAGUGUUUUCAAUAUUUUUCAGAGGGCUCUAAAUAAAAGAAGUCCUGUUUAUCAACGUACCUUGUUUAAUAUAUCAUUUAAACUACAUUUCCACGCAGCAAUUUUAUAUAAACUAUGCAUCAAUUGAAUUUACAAAAAAUGUACUAUAUCGUGAUGUAUAUCGUAUCGGGAUAUAAAAUGAGCUAUAUCGGGAUAUGACCAAAAUCUCAUAUCGUGCAGCCCUAGAUCACACACUACAUAAAAUCCUCUGGAAGUGUGUGGCUGCCCUUCGAGUGGCCACAUAUCUCUGGAGCAUCCCCCCUCAAUACAUUGAAAAGUCAGAGAUCCAGGAUUUUGACUGUGUGAUGGCGCUCUCUGAGGCCGAGGGAGGGUGCACCAUGUGCAGCCACACAACCCCAGAGCAUUUCCCCUUGAUAAUUUGAAUGUCAGAGAUCCAGGAUUUUGACCGGGUGGUGGCGCUCUCCGAGGCUGGAGCAGGGUGCACCAUAGGCAGACACACACCUCCAGAGCAUCUCCCCUCGAUAUUUUGAAAGUUGGAGAUCCAUUUUGACCGGGUGGUGGCGCUCUCCGAAGACGUGGAAGGGUGCACCCAUAGGCAGACACACACCUCCAGAGCAUCUCCCUUCAAUAUUUUGAAAGUUAGAGACCAAGAAUUUAGACCGGGUGGUGGCACUCUCUGUGGACGUGGAAGGGUGCACCAUCUGCGGCCACACACUUACAGAGUCCCCCCCCCCCUCCCCCCUUGCCCUUGAUACUUAGAGUCUGAGAUCCAGGAUUUUAAACAGGUGGUGGCGCUCUCCGAGGCCAGGAAAGAGUGCACCAUAUGUGGCCACACACCUCCAAAGCAUUUCCCCUCGAUACAUAGAAAGUCAGAAAUCCAGAAUUUUGACAGGAUGGUGCAUCUCUAUAAGGACGGGGAAGGGUGCACCAUGUGCGGCCACACAACCCCAGAGCAUUUCCCCUUGAUAAUUGAAAAGUCAGAGAUCCAGGAUUUUGACCAGGUGUUGGCGCUCUCUGAGGCCGGGGAAGGGUGCACCAUGUGCGGCCACACACCUCCAGAGCAUUUCUUGUUGAUACUUUGAAAGUCAGAGAUCCAGGAUUUUGACCGGGUGGUGGCGCUCUCCGAGGCCGGAGCAGGGUGCACCAUAGGCAGACACACACCUCCAGAGCAUCUCCCCUCGAUAUUUUGAAAGUCAGAGAUCCAGGAUUUUGACCGGGUGGUGGCCCUUUCCGAGGACGAGGGAGGGUGCACCAUGUGCAGCCACA
rnacentral:lncRNA from 1 species